AUGGCGGCCGCCGCCACUGCCGCCACUGCCAUCGCCGCCGCAUGUUCGUCCAACGUCUCUGCUUCCUGCUCCGACUCCGACUCCGAGGAUCUCCGACUCCUCCUCCCAAACCUCCUCCCCGCGUCCGCCGCCGCCGCCCCCUCAUCCGAGGCGCAGCUCCACCAAUUCCACCUCCCCGCGCUUCCGUCCCCCAUCACCGUCCGCACCAUCCCUUCCCUCGGGCUCACCUUCCAGCUCUGGCCCUCCGCCACCACGCUCCUCCGCUUCCUCCCAGCCUCCCCGCACCUCCUCCCGCGCCCGCCCGCCGCACACUGCCCGCUCAGCAUCCUGGAGCUCGGCUCCGGGACCGGCGCCGCGGGCCUCGCCCUGGCGGCGGCUCUCCCGGCGCACACCGUCCUCUCCGACCUCCCCGCCGCGCUCCCCAAUCUCCGCCACAACGCCUCCCUCAACGCGCCCCUCCUCGACUCCCGCGGCGGCUCCGUCUCCGUCGUGCCGCUCCCCUGGGGCGAUGCCGCCGCGAUGGGGGCCGUGGUGGCCCCAGCGCCGGCUUCUCGGUUUGACCUCGUCGUGGCGUCGGACGUGGUCUACUACGAGGAGUUGGUCGACCCCUUGAUAGAGACGCUGCGGUUCUUCGUCAAGGGGGAUGUGGUGUUCCUGAUGGCGCACAUGAGGAGGUGGAAACGCACGGAUAAGAAAUUCUUCGGGAAGGCCAGGAAGGUGUUCGACAUUGAGGUGUUGCACAAGGAUCCACCCCCCGAAGGCUGGCGCCAUGGUCCGGUGGUCUACCGCUUCACAGUGAAGAAGCAGCGUCACAACAAGUGA
rnacentral:rRNA from 1 species